UGCACAUGUGAUGAGCAUCUAGGGACUUAAUACUGAAAAGAUUUGCUGAUUUGUUUGCUCUGAUGUGC